rnacentral:rRNA from 1 species
GACGAACGCUGGCGGCGUGCUUAACACAUGCAAGUCGAACGGAAAGGCCCUGCUUUUGUGGGGUGCUCGAGUGGCGAACGGGUGAGUAACACGUGAGUAACCUGCCCUUGACUUUGGGAUAACUUCAGGAAACUGGGGCUAAUACCGGAUAGGAGCUCCUGCUGCAUGGUGGGGGUUGGAAAGUUUCGGCGGUUGGGGAUGGACUCGCGGCUUAUCAGCUUGUUGGUGGGGUAGUGGCUUACCAAGGCUUUGACGGGUAGCCGGCCUGAGAGGGUGACCGGCCACAUUGGGACUGAGAUACGGCCCAGACUCCUACGGGAGGCAGCAGUGGGGAAUAUUGCACAAUGGGCGGAAGCCUGAUGCAGCAACGCCGCGUGCGGGAUGACGGCCUUCGGGUUGUAAACCGCUUUCGCCUGUGACGAAGCGUGAGUGACGGUAAUGGGUAAAGAAGCACCGGCUAACUACGUGCCAGCAGCCGCGGUGAUACGUAGGGUGCGAGCGUUGUCCGGAUUUAUUGGGCGUAAAGGGCUCGUAGGUGGUUGAUCGCGUCGGAAGUGUAAUCUUGGGGCUUAACCCUGAGCGUGCUUUCGAUACGGGUUGACUUGAGGAAGGUAGGGGAGAAUGGAAUUCCUGGUGGAGCGGUGGAAUGCGCAGAUAUCAGGAGGAGCACCAGUGGCGAAGGCGGUUCUCUGGGCCUUUCCUGACGCUGAGGAGCGAAAGCGUGGGGAGCGAACAGGCUUAGAUAUCCUGGUAGUCCACGCUGUAAACGGUGGGUACUAGGUGUGGGGUCCAUUCCACGGGUUCCGUGCCGUAGCUAACGCUUUAAGUACCCCGCCUGGGGAGUACGGCCGCAAGGCUAAAACUCAAAGGAAUUGACGGGGCCCCGCACAAGCGGCGGAGCAUGCGGAUUAAUUCGAUGCAACGCGUAGAACCUUACCUGGGUUUGACAUGGAUCGGGAGUGCUCAGAGAUGGGUGUGCCUCUUUUGGGGUCGGUUCACAGGUGGUGCAUGGCUGUCGUCAGCUCGUGUCGUGAGAUGUUGGGUUAAGUCCCGCAACGAGCGCAACCCUUGUUCACUGUUGCCAGCACGUUAUGGUGGGGACUCAGUGGAGACCGCCGGGGUCAACUCGGAGGAAGGUGGGGAUGACGUCGAGUCAUCAUGCCCCUUAUGUCCAGGGCUUCACGCAUGCUACAAUGGCUGGUACAGAGAGUGGCGAGCCUGUGAGGGUGAGCGAAUCUCGGAAAGCCGGUCUCAGUUCGGAUUGGGGUCUGCAACUCGACCUCAUGAAGUCGGAGUCGCUAGUAAUCGCAGAUCAGCAACGCUGCGGUGAAUACGUUCCCGGGGCU